GGAAGCAUGGCUGAGUGGCUGAAAGCGGCACCCUGCUAAGGUGUUGGUCACAGACUGUGGCUCGGAGGUUCGAAUCCUCCUGCUUCCGCAA
rnacentral:tRNA from 1 species